UCAGCCUCCCCACUCUCCAUGCAG
rnacentral:piRNA from 1 species